CUAAACUAUUCCCAUGCAGAACUGCGCCUUAAUCUGUCAGAACAUUGAGGAAUUCAUCCCAAAAUCUACAAUAUGUGAGAAGUUUGCAUCAGGCUUUCAACUCCAGCCAUUGCUCUUGGUUGGGAACAUACAUUUCAGCGGGCAUCUGUUGAUGAUACGUUAGUGUCUCAGCUUCUAGAAUAUUAGUAAAAAAAUAAUGUUUAUCGUGUCAAACUAAGCAAAAAUGAUCAGCGUAAUCACUCUUAUUGGACUGUCGAAAAAUGAUAUAAUAUUCUAUUGAUCCGACACUA